CCUUAUGAUUUAGUUCUAUCUUGAUUUAUUAGUAGCUUUCUCAGGAAUGUUGUCAUUGCAGAUUAUAUUAAUCCAACCAAAAAUAUUAUUGUGUUUUGGUGAUAAUCAGUCUAAUGUUAUGUUUUGAAGCAUUAUAAUUUCUUUGCGAUGCAGGGCAUCCAUUACCAAGGAAAAGAAUUGAGGGAGGCUCCAGCUCCACUUGGAUACAAUUUACAUUUUUUUCCCUUUUUCUUUUAUUUUUUGUAUUGUGAAGAUUGAGA